AUGGCCGACGCAAUUCUGGACGACCUCCUCCUCGACAUCUUCGCGCUCCUGGCGGACCCCGUCGACCUCCUCCGCUGCGCCGGCACGUGCAGACGGUGGCUCCGGCUCCUCGGCAAUGACCGGGCCAUCCUGCGACGAGCGGCCCUCCUGCCGGAGAACGAGAACGCGCGGCACGCCUCCUUCGUUCUCGGGGCUUUCUACCAGAACUCCUUUCUCGUCAAAGCGCCGGUGGCCCUAGAAAAGACAUCCAGGUUCCCGCCGCAGUUCAGGAGGAUCCACGCGACGUGGCGGCGCCUCAGCAUGGGCUCCACCUCCAUCAUCCCCAACGCCGAUGGGCUCUUCAACCACGCCAAGCCACUGGCGUCGCGCGGCGGGCUCCUCCUCGUGCGCCUCUUACCUGCCCCGCUCGACUUCGGGAAGCUCCACCUGGCGGUGUGCCACCCUCUCGUCGGCGACGUGCACGUCCUCCCGCCGCCGGCCGUGGACCUGGACCACGACCGCCUGGGGGGAGACGUUACGGGGUACGCGCUUCUCACUCGCGCAGAUCACCACGGACACGGACCGGCGACGGCUUUCCGUGUGCUCUUCACCGCCAAAACCCCAAGCGACCAGCUCGUGCACGCCUACGCAUACUCCUCCGCCUCGCGCCGCUGGAGCGCGCCCAUCGACUGCCCAGACGUCGGCGGCCUCACCAUGUCAGGGCCGCCCGACGGCGUCGUGGACGGCCGUGGCACCGUGCACUGGCUAUACACGGACCACGCAUGCUACUACACCCUCGACGUUAGUGCCGACGCGGCGCGUGUCUCCCUGACCAAGCUACCCAUACCAGUCAGCUCUGGUUGGGAAGGACCACCGUUCCUGUGCACCGCCGGGCGAGGAAAAGCACUCUCGUUCGUCAACAGCAUUGACUACGGCAGGAUGCUCGAGCUUUGGACCAAGCGGGAGCAAGACGACGAUGACGACGACGAUCAUGGUGAAGAGAGCUUCGAGGGCUGGCUGCGCUGCAUGCUGACCACACCCCAGGGCCAAGGGCCGGAGGCAUCGGAAUAUUUCGGGAUCCUCGGCUUCGCAGAGAGCAGAGGUGCGAUUCUCGUCCAUCGUGAUGUCGGCUUCUUAUGUCUUGACCUCGAGAGCACGGAGCUGGAGAAGAUCAGGGGAAGAGAGAGUAGCAGCAGUGGCGUGGACUGGUAUCCGGGAGAGCUCAGCCUUAGGUCCUGGUGUACGUACAACCACGUUGUGUUUUAUGACAUGGAUUGGUCAUCGUACAUUCUCCACCUCCUCUAUGGAAGCCUAGGAGGUACAACAAUGAAGUGA
rnacentral:rRNA from 1 species